rnacentral:rRNA from 1 species
UACGAAGGGUGCAAGCGUUACUCGGAAUUACUGGGCGUAAAGCGUGCGUAGGCGGUUUGUUAAGUCCGCUGUGAAAGCCCUGGGCUCAACCUGGGAAUUGCAGUGGAUACUGGCAAGCUAGAGUGCGGUAGAGGAUGGUGGAAUUCCCGGUGUAGCGGUGAAAUGCGUAGAGAUCGGGAGGAACACCAGUGGCGAAGGCGGCGAUCUGGGUCGAUACUGACGCUGAGGUGCGAAAGCGUGGGGAGCAAACAGG